CGCAGGCGCGGGGGGCGCCGGUGGUGUGCGGAGCCGCAGAGGAUACCGCACGCGUGCGCGGCGGGGCGCGCCUGCGCUGUGCGGGCGGGGACGAGGGGGCGCCUCGAGUGCUGAAGGUUUUGUUCCGGAGAAACUGCGUCCUCUUUUCUGUAUGAAUGUUCCAAGUUUAUUUCAUUUCACAUCCUUACUGAGGGAAGCCCGAACGCCGGCCUGGACACUAUGGAUUUUGGGGAAGCGGCACCUCUCCCUAUCCAGAGCGCCCUUACUUCAGGCAGCACGGAAAAAGAACUCUCUCAAUCUCCUUGGACUAAUUGAGGCAGAGUUAGAAGAACAGUUUGUGAGAGGUGAUGGCCCAGGAGGCCAAGCCACAAAUAAGACAAACAACUGUGUUGUCUUGAAGCAUGUUCCAUCUGGGAUUGUAGUGAAGUGUCAUCAAACAAGAUCAGUGGAGAAGAACCGGAAGAUAGCCAGAGAAAUCCUGCAGGAAAAAGUUGAUCUUUUCUACAAAGGUGAAGAAAGUGAUGUUUUUAAAGAGAAGAAAGCAUUGGAGAAGAAGAAGCAGGAGAAGAAAAGAAGAGCAAGGGAAAACCUAGAAAGGAAAAAGCUUUUUAAAGAGAUGCAACAACUGGAUAAGAAAUGAACGUGUGAAAUACAGACUUGCCUGAGCAGCGUAAGGGGAAUGUUUGUCAUUAUACCUACACCCAGGUUUCAAACUAACGGAUGAUGUAGGGCUCCCUCAUCACUGCUAAAAGACCAAGUAGUGACCUUCCAUUACUGUAAAGCUGAAGUGAUAAAAGCAGUUGUAUUCCUGCUUCUGUCUACCAUCAUCUCAUUAAUCACAUUUAGCAAUCAGUUUUCCUGCCAAGUUCAGAAGAUGCUAAAGCAAUCCUUGUUAAAAAGGAACUAUAAACCUUCCAUCACUGUUAAUGGAGACCACAAAAAUGCAAUAGAUUUCCGUCUGCCUGGAUGACACGUUAUGAUGCUUCAUAGGAGUUUAGAUACUUGGGGAGAACAAGCCUAAAACCAACCCUCACUCCUGUGAGUCACGUUCUUCCAGUUCAAAGCACCUCACCAGCUGCCACCAAGUUUUGACCUUCAGCAUCCGAAGGGAGAGAGCUUCAGGAAGUGAGGCCACAGUCUGUGUUUUGAAAGGAGUGGAGACUACUGGCAACUGUAGCACCUUCCAACUGCAUCCGGCUGUGCCACGGAUGGAAACUCACCAGCAAUCUGCAGGGCUGUUCCCUAGUUCCCUUCUCUGUUGCUGAACCUGAGCCUCCUGCAUGAAGGUUACAUUUUUAGCUGACAGUUCUUGUUCCUGGAGUAUGAAUGCGAUUAAAGUGACUGUACAGAGUUUUAAUACAAACUGUUAAUGAAAAUAAGCUUUAUUACGUCAAGUAAUAAAUACAUACAAAGAUGCAAAUAACAGUUUUAGUAAUUUAUCCAGAAUUUUCUUUUUCUUCUUUUUUUUUUUUUUUUUUUGGCAAACUUGAAACUGAAAUCUCCAGCCUUAAUGUAGAAAUUAGCUUUCCAGGACCUUGUUAUUAUUUAAUAGGUUUCCCUAUUUUCCAUAUAACUCAUGCACUUUAAAUGGACUUCAAAGCACUAACAGUCAUGCAAAUGUUUAUGCAAAACGAACAAAAAAGGGAAAAUAAGAGAAGGGGAAGGUUAUUUCUAAGCAGGGUCUAUGCUGUAUGACAAAGUGUGACUUAGCAGACUACAAGGGACAGCAUGCUAUUCAGCAUUCAUUAAACAAAAUCCUUAGAGCUUAUGUCAAACUGUGGAGGAUUGACAGUUUGGGGUUAAGUGAAUACAGUCAAAGGAAAAAAAAAAACCAAAAACCAGAAUGAGACUGUGGCUGGAUAAGAAGAGAACUGAAAUAGAGCCUGGGAGAGAAAGAGCAUUCCUCUGCAUGCAGUUCAGUUUUCAUGUUUUAGAAACAUUUUUAGGGAGUUUUAAUGUCUUUACAAAAUGCAAACCCUCAGGAAGUUGAAAAAUCCUUGUUUUCUCAUUCUUAACUAUACAUUGUCAUAAGGGUGAAACAAGAAAGGCAAAAACAUUCAAAAUAAAGGAAUUUGUCUGAAUGUUUCAAGAGU